rnacentral:pre_miRNA from 1 species
AGUGGAAUUACUGGAUCAUAUGGUUAUUCUAUUUUUAACUUUUUGAGGAACUGCCAUACUGUUUUCCAUAGUGGCUGCACCAUUUUGCAUUCCCACCAGUAGU